rnacentral:tmRNA from 2 species
GGGGCUGAUUCUGGAUUCGACGGGAUUUGCGAAACCCAAGGUGCAUGCCGAGGGGCGGUUGGCCUCGUAAAAAGCCGCAAAAAAUAGUCGCAAACGACGAAAACUACGCUUUAGCAGCUUAAUAACCUGCUUAGAGCCCUCUCUCCCUAGCCUCCGCUCUUAGGACGGGGAUCAAGAGAGGUCAAACCCAAAAGAGAUCGCGUGGAAGCCCUGCCUGGGGUUGAAGCGUUAAAACUUAAUCAGGCUAGUUUGUUAGUGGCGUGUCCGUCCGCAGCUGGCAAGCGAAUGUAAAGACUGACUAAGCAUGUAGUACCGAGGAUGUAGGAAUUUCGGAC